UACGGGAGGCAGCAGUGGGGAAUUUUGGACAAUGGGGGCAACCCUGAUCCAGCCAUUCCGCGUGAGUGAAGAAGGCCUUCGGGUUGUAAAGCUCUUUUGUUCGGGACGAAACGGUUAAGGCUAAUAACCUUGACUAAUGACGGUACCGGAAGAAUAAGCACCGGCUAACUACGUG
rnacentral:rRNA from 1 species